rnacentral:rRNA from 1 species
AUUGAACGCUGGCGGCAGGCCUAACACAUGCAAGUCGAACGAGUGGCGUACGGGUGAGUAAUGUCUGGGAAACUGCCCGCUGGAGGGGGAUAACUACUGGAAACGGUAGCUACUACCGCAUACCAUCUGAUGUGCCCAGAGGGGAUUAGCUUGUAGGUGAGGUAACGGCUCACCUAGGCGACGAUCCCUAGCUGGUCUGAGAGGAUGACCAGCCAAACUGGAACUGAGACACGGUCGAGACUCCUACGUGAGGCAGCAGUGGGGAAUAUUGCACAAUGGGCGCAAGCCUGAUGCAGCCAUGCCGCGUGUAUGAAGAAGGCCUUCGGGUUGUAAAGUACUUUCAGCGGGGAGGCGUUACCCGCAGAAGAAGCACCGGCUAACUCCGUGCCAGCAGCCGCGGUAAUAC